rnacentral:rRNA from 1 species
CUAUAUGCAGUCGAACGAGUUCUGAUUAUUGAAAGGUGCUUGCAUCUUGAUUUAAUUUUGAACGAGUGGCGGACGGGUGAGUAACACGUGGGUAACCUGCCCUUAAGUGGGGGAUAACAUUUGGAAACAGAUGCUAAUACCGCAUAAAUCCAAGAACCGCAUGGUUCUUGGCUGAAAGAUGGCGUAAGCUAUCGCUUUUGGAUGGACCCGCGGCGUAUUAGCUAGUUGGUGAGGUAACGGCUCACCAAGGCAAUGAUACGUAGCCGAACUGAGAGGUUGAUCGGCCACAUUGGGACUGAGACACGGCCCAAACUCCUACGGGAGGCAGCAGUAGGGAAUCUUCCACAAUGGACGCAAGUCUGAUGGAGCAACGCCGCGUGAGUGAAGAAGGCUUUCGGGUCGUAAAACUCUGUUGUUGGAGAAGAAUGGUCGGCAGAGUAACUGUUGUCGGCGUGACGGUAUCCAACCAGAAAGCCACGGCUAACUACGUGCCAGCGCCGCGGUAA